rnacentral:rRNA from 1 species
GAUGAACGCUGGCGGCGUGCCUAAUACAUGCAAGUCGAGCGAACGGACGAGAAGCUUGCUUUUCUGAUGUUAGCGGCGGACGGGCGAGUAACACGUGGAUAGCCUACCUAUAAGACUGGGAUAACUUCGGGAAACCGGAGCUAAUACCGGAUAAUAUUUUGAACCGCAUGGUUCAAAAGUGAAAGACGGUCUUGCUGUCACUUAUAGAUGGAUCCGCGCUGCAUUAGCUAGUUGGUAAGGUAACGGCUUACCAAGGCAACGAUGCAUAGCCGACCUGAGAGGGUGAUCGGCCACACUGGAACUGAGACACGGUCCAGACUCCUACGGGAGGCAGCAGUAGGGAAUCUUCCGCAAUGGGCGAAAGCCUGACGGAGCAACGCCGCGUGAGUGAUGAAGGUCUUCGGAUCGUAAAACUCUGUUAUUAGGGAAGAACAUAUGUGUAAGUAACUGUGCACAUCUUGACGGUACCUAAUCAGAAAGCCACGGCUAACUACGUG